rnacentral:sRNA from 2 species
GGGCGGCCUGCGCCGAAUCCGGGCUUCUCCCGAGGGAGUUCGGAACCGGGGACCCACCAUGCAUCACCGGGGUGAAUCGGACCGUGCCCCGCUCGGUCCGUAGGGCGUCUUCCGUUCGCCCGAACCCGACAGCUAACCCGGUAGGCGGUCCACGGAAGAAGGA